rnacentral:lncRNA from 1 species
UAUAAUUUUAUUUUUUAUUUAAAAAUUUUACUAAUUAGGUGUCAACAUUUUACAAAUAUUUAUAGCCAGCCUAACGCGCGUCAUUCUGGGUUAGCAAUUAGGUGUCAACGUUUUACAAAUAGCAAUGAUGUAGCAUCACAUAAGACAUCACUUCUAUAAUUGCAAUGCUAGCCAUUUCGGUUCUGGCUAAAUCCACGUGCAAAUUGAACUCCCAA